rnacentral:rRNA from 1 species
GUGCGCGCUUGUAGCAAUACAAGUGGCGCACGGCGCACGGGUGCGUAACACGUGGGUAACCUGCCCUUUGGUGGGGAAUAACCUCGCGAAAGCGAGGCUAAUUCCGCAUAAGAUCCGCAAGGAUGAAAGCCGCAAGGCGCCGAAGGAGGGGCCCGCGCACGAUUAGUUAGUUGGUAGGGUAACGGCCUACCAAGACUAUGAUCGUUACCUGGUCUGAGAGGAUGGCCAGCCACACUGGAACUGAGACACGGUCCAGACUCCUACGGGAGGCAGCACUGGGGAAUCUUGCGCAAUGGGCGAAAGCCUGACGCACCGACGCCGCGUGGGGGAUGAAACUUCUCGGAGUGUAAACCCCUUU